GACGAACCGUACAAACGUUAUUCGGAAUUACUGGGCUUAAAGGGUUUGUAGGCGGCCUUGUAAGUCAGGUGUGAAAUCCCUCGGCUCAACCGAGGAAUGGCGCUUGAGACUGGGCUGGCUUGAGUGCGGGAGAGGAUGGUGGAAUUCUCGGUGUAGCGGUGAAAUGCGUAGAUAUCGAGAGGAACACCUGCGGCGAAGGCGGGUUGCUGGGCUGACACUGACGCUGAUGCGCGAAAGCCAGGGGAGCGAACGGG
rnacentral:rRNA from 1 species